rnacentral:rRNA from 1 species
CCUACGGGCGGCAGCAGUGGGGGAUAUUGCACAAUGGGGGAAACCCUGAUGCAGCGACGCCGCGUGGGCGAAGAAGUAUUUCGGUAUGUAAAGCCCUAUCAGCAGGGAAGAAGAAAUGACGGUACCUGAGUAAGAAGCACCGGCUAAAUACGUGCCAGCAGCCGCGGUAAUACGUAUGGUGCAAGCGUUAUCCGGAUUUACUGGGUGUAAAGGGAGCGCAGGCGGCACGGCAAGCCUGAUGUGAAAGCCCGCGGCCCAACCGCGGGACUGCAUUGGGAACUACCGGGCUGGAGUGCCGGAGAGGUAGGCGGAAUUCCUAGUGUAGCGGUGAAAUGCGUAGAUAUUAGGAGGAACACCAGUGGCGAAGGCGGCUUACUGGACUGUAACUGACGUUGAGGCUCGAAAGCGUGGGGAGCAAACAGGAUUAGAUACCCUUGUAGUC